UGUAAAAAAUAUUAUAUUUGUACUGUUAAAAACUAGCGCGAUUAAGAAAAUAAUCAAACAAUGACAAAUAGCGUGUCAUAUGUACCUCAUGUUUAUGUACAUAAUUAAUUUUUAACAGUAAAAAUAAAUAAUUUUUUUAAUA
rfam:Gossypium raimondii Chr06_contig_1311, whole genome shotgun sequence.